GGCUCAUGAUGCAGUGGUUUGAGUGUUGGAUUGCGACUCUGGAGACCAGGGUUCGAAUCCCUGCUAAGCCA
rnacentral:tRNA from 1 species